CAGUCGCCGCGGUAAUACGAACCGUGCGAACGUUAUUCGGAAUCACUGGGCUUAAAGCGCGUGUAGGCGGAUGGGAACGUCGGUCGUUGAAAGCCCCCGGCUCAACCGGGGAACUGGCGCCGAAACGACCCGUCUGGAGGGACGUAGGGGGAUCUGGAACUUCCGGUGGAGCGGUGAAAUGCGUUGAGAUCGGAAGGAACGCCCGUGGCGAAAGCGAGAUCCUGGACGUCUACUGACGCUGAGACGCGAAAGCUAGGGGAGCGAACGGGAUUAGAUACCCCAGUAGUCCCUGUCUCUUAUA
rnacentral:rRNA from 1 species